GGUAAAGAGGCAACCUCAUUUCCUCCUUGUGCUGCCCAGCAGAACUGGAACCACCUGUGGCCCCCUGUCACAUCCAAAUACACAGCCAAAGGAACAUCCCAUUAAAUGUAAUGCAUCACAGAUGGGUUAUCUCCUCACCUGGAUGAUAUUCUGUUGCUCUGCAUUAAUUUUACAGUUCUGAAUGUGCAUUUCCAUUGGCAAUGUUUGCAAAAUAACACUGCUCCCCCUAAUUUUGGGCUGGCCGUAUUUUGACACACCACUAUUAUUGUGAUGCUGUUCUGUGUCCAAGUAGAGGGCAUCCCUGGAAUACAAAUGCUCUUCCAUAAGAAGAGCUUAUAACUUGUCCCAGAGGUGCCACUCAAACCCUCUCAAAAUGUGAAAUAGAAAAAGGAAAGAGCAGCCAUUAUUUUGAUGGAUUUUUUAAAACAAGAAACCUACUCUUAUAUUGACAGAUCAUCCGCAGUAGCUCCGAAGGUAUUUUACAUUGCUGAAGAAAGAAAUAUGGCAUUUAACUCUGCUCAACCUCCCUGCUUAGGAGUUGGCUGCACAUCAUGAUUCUCCAAUCAGAG